GAAAUCGGGAUUAAUACUCCAUAAUAUAAUGAUAUCGCAUGGUAUUAUUAUUAAAGUUCCGGCGGAUAAAGAUGGGCAUGCGUGACAUUAGUUAGUUGGUGAGGUAACGGCUCACCAAGGCGACGAUGUCUAGGGGUUCUGAGAGGAUUGUCCCCCACACUGGUACUGAGACACGGACCAGACUCCUACGGGAGGCAGCAGUGAGGAAUAUUGGUCAAUGGUCGAGAGACUGAACCAGCCAUGCCGCGUGCAGGAUGACUGUUCUAUGAAUUGUAAACUGCUUUUCUACAGGAAGAGACCUACUUACGUGUAAGUAGCUGCCGGUACUGUAGGAAUAAGCACCGGCUAACUCCGUGCCAGCAGCCGCGGUAAUACGGAGGGUGCAAGCGUUAUCCGGAUUUAUUGGGUUUAAAGGGUGCGUAGGCGGAAUAAUAAGUCAGUGGUGAAAUCCUGCGGCUCAACCGUAGAACUGCCAUUGAUACUGUUAUUCUUGAAUGCAGUUGAGGUAGGCGGAAUGUGUAAUGUAGCGGUGAAAUGCUUAGAUAUUACACAGAGCACCGAUUGCGAAGGCAGCUUGCUAAACUG
rnacentral:rRNA from 1 species